rnacentral:rRNA from 1 species
UACGGAGGGAGCAAGCGUUACUCGGAAUUAUUGGGCGUAAAGGGCGCGUAGGCGAUUUGAAAAGUCUUGUGUGAAAGCCCCGAGCUUAACUCGGGAAGUGCACAAGAAACUGUUGAAUUUGAGUUCCGGAGAGGAAGGCAGAAUUCCCGGUGUAGCGGUGAAAUGCGUAGAUAUCGGGAGGAAUACCAGUGGCGAAGGCGGCCUUCUGGACGGAUACUGACGCUGAGACGCGAAAGCCAGGGGAGCAAACGGG